CCUACGGGUGGCAGCAGUGAGGAAUAUUGGUCAAUGGACGAGAGUCUGAACGAGCAAAGUAGCGUGAAGGAUGACGGCCCGAUGGGUUGUAAACUGCGUUUAUAGGGGAAUAAAACAGGGUAUGCAUACCCUCUUGUAUGUACCAUAUGAAUAAGGAUCGGCUAACUCCGUGCCAGCAGCCGCGGUAAUACGGAGGAUCCGAGCGUUAUCCGGAUUUAUUGGGUUUAAAGGGAGCGUAGGGGGUUUGUUAAGUCAGUUGUGAAAGUUUGCGGCUCAACCGUAAAAUUGCAGUUGAAACUGGCAGUCUUGAGUCCAGUAGAGGUGGGCGGACUUCGUGGUGUAGCGUUUAAAUGCUUAGAUAUCACGAAGAACUCCGAUUGCGAAGGCAGCUCACUGGACUGCAACUGACACUGAUGCUCGAAAGUGUGGGUAUCAAACAGGAUUAGAUACCCCUGUAGUC
rnacentral:rRNA from 1 species